UACAGAGGGUGCAAGCGUUGUCCGGAAUUACUGGGCGUAAAGGGCGCGUAGGCGGUAUAAUAAGUUAGGUGUGAAAGCUUCGGGCUUAACCCGGGAAGUGCACGUAAAACUGUUAUACUCGAGUUGGGGAGGGGAAAGCGGAAUUCCUAGUGUAGAGGUGAAAUUUGUAGAUAUUAGCAGGAACACCAAUGGCGAAGGCGGCGUUCUGGAACGAUACUGACGCUGAGGCGCGAUAGCGUGGGGAGCAAACAGG
rnacentral:rRNA from 1 species